UACAGAGGUCUCAAGCGUUAGGCGGAAUCACUGGGCUUAAAGCGUGUGUAGGUGGGUUUGUAAGUACCUUGUGAAAUCCCAUGGCUCAACCAUGGAACUGCUUGGUAUACUGCGAAUCUUGAGCUGUCUAGAGGUUACUGGAACAAACGGUGGAGCGGUGAAAUGCGUAGAUAUCGUUUGGAACGCUAAUGGUGAAAACAGGUAACUGGGGACACGCUGACACUGAGACACGAAAGCCAGGGGAGCAAACGGG
rnacentral:rRNA from 1 species